UACGUAGGGGCCUAGCGUUGUCCGGAUUUAUUGGGCGUAAAGAGCUCGUAGGCGGUUCGGUAAGUCAGGUGUGAAAUCUCCACGCUCAACGUGGAGGCGCCACCUGAAACUGCCGUGACUCGAGUCCGGUAGGGGAGUGUGGAAUUCCUGGUGUAGCGGUGAAAUGCGCAGAUAUCAGGAGGAACACCAGUGGCGAAGGCGGCAC
rnacentral:rRNA from 1 species